ACAUUGAGUGAAAGUCUUAGAGAUAAGACCCUUCUUCGGAACACGAAAACAGGUGCUGCAUGGUUGUCGUCAGCUCGUGUCGUGAGAUGUUAGGUUAAGUCCUGCAACGAGCGCAACCCUCAUAUACAGUUGCCAAUAUUCAGUUAGGAACUCUGUAUAGACUGCCGUGGUUAACACGGAGGAAGGUGGGGAUGACGUCAAAUCAUCACGGCCCUUACGGCCUGGGCUACACACGUGCUACAAUGGCUAUUACAAAGAGUUGCAAUACAGUAAUGUGGAGCGAAUCUCAAAGAGAUAGUCUCAGUUCGGAUUGUGGGCUGCAACCCGCCCACAUGAAGUCGGAGUUGCUAGUAAUCCCGAAUCAGCAUGUCGGGGUGAAUGCGUUCCCGGGUCUUGUACACACCGCCCGUCACGCCAUGGGAGUUGGGAGUGCCCAAAGUCGGUGACCUAACCGCAAGGAAGGAGCCGCCUAAGGUAAUACCAAUGACUGGGGUGAAGUCGUAACAAGGUAGCCGUAUCGGAAGGUGCGGCU
rnacentral:rRNA from 1 species